UGUCAGAGGGAAGCCCAAAGCCCAGGAAGAAAUGAUGGACCAGAAACAACAGGACAUGCUCGUAAGGAAGACUUGCUGCAUGGUGGAUGGCCCAGAGACGGCGGGGCUCACAGAUGGUCACGUUUAGUGCUUGCAGAUUGGUAAUGCCUGUGCCCUUGGCUUUGUUUAUUCUGGUCAACCAGUUGUCAGUGCUGCCAUCGAGGGCUUUCUGGACAGCAUGGCACCUUCCGUAAGGAGACCUUGGCUUCAGUAGCUAGUCCAGGACCUUGAUGUGACUAACCAUAUGUGCACCAUUGAGAAAUGCAAGUCCCCA
rnacentral:lncRNA from 1 species